CCUCGCCUCGCGCCCCACAAUGCACUGCGGCGCCGUCCUGUCGCAAAGGCCACAUCCGGGCGGCGAAUGAGCGAGUCGCUUUCCGUGCGCUGCGGCGGCGGCGGCUGGGUCUUCCUGCUCGCGCCGCGCUGCCGGACGCCCCGACGGUAGCCAUCUGCGUCGCAGACGGCUCGGCGCCCCCGCCUCCGCAAUGCCCCCCAAGAAACAGGCUCAGGCCGGGGGCAGCAAGAAGGCGGAGCAGAAGAAGAAGGAGAAGAUCAUCGAGGACAAAACUUUUGGACUAAAGAAUAAGAAGGGAGCAAAACAACAGAAAUUUAUUAAGGCUGUCACUCAUCAAGUGAAAUUUGGACAACAGAAUCCUCGUCAGGUAGCACAAAGUGAAGCUGAAAAGAAAUUGAAGAAAGAUGACAAGAAGAAAGAGCUACAAGAACUAAAUGAGUUGUUCAAACCGGUAGUUGCUGCACAAAAAAUAAGUAAAGGUGCGGACCCCAAAUCUGUGGUGUGCGCAUUCUUCAAACAGGGACAGUGUACUAAAGGAGAUAAAUGUAAGUUCUCUCAUGACCUCACUUUGGAGAGAAAAUGUGAAAAACGAAGUGUUUACAUUGAUGCAAGAGAUGAAGAACUUGAAAAAGAUACCAUGGAUAACUGGGAUGAGAAAAAGCUGGAAGAAGUAGUAAACAAGAAGCACGGUGAGGCGGAAAAGAAAAAACCAAAAACUCAAAUAGUGUGCAGACAUUUUCUUGAAGCUAUUGAAAAUAACAAGUAUGGCUGGUUUUGGGUGUGUCCUGGAGGUGGGGACAAUUGCAUGUAUCGCCAUGCACUUCCUCCUGGGUUUGUGCUAAAGAAAGACAAAAAGAAAGAAGAAAAAGAAGAUGAAAUAUCAUUAGAAGAUCUAAUUGAAAGAGAGCGUUCUGCCCUAGGUCCAAAUGUUACCAAAAUCACUCUAGAAUCUUUUCUUGCAUGGAAGAAAAGGAAAAGACAAGAAAAGAUUGAUAAACUUGAACAAGAUAUGGAGAGGCGGAAAGCUGACUUCAAAGCAGGGAAAGCGCUGGUGAUCAGUGGUCGUGAGGUGUUUGAGUUUCGUCCAGAGCUGGUCAACGAUGACGACGAGGAAGCAGACGACACCCGUUACAUUCAGGGAACAGGAGGUGAUGAGGUUGAUGACUCUGUGGGUGUAAAUGACAUAGAUCUAAGCCUCUAUGUCCCAAGAGAUGUGGAAGAGACAGGGAUCACUGUGGCCAGUCUUGAAAGAUUCAGCACCUAUGCGUCAGAUAAGGACGAGAACAAAUUAAGUGAAGCUUCUGGAGGUCUGGCUGAAAAUGGUGAAAGAAGUGAUUUGGAUGAGGACAGCGGAGGGGGAGGACAGGAAAAUGGGUCCAUCGAUGCUGUUCCUGUUGAUGAAAACCUGUUCACUGGUGAAGAUCUGGAUGAACUAGAAGAAGAAUUAAACACACUUGAUUUAGAAGAAUGACGACAAGGAAGAAAAUUAGGUCGGCUCAGUACGAUCAACAUGAACUGAGAUUGACAACGUUAAUUGUUUUGCCACCCGGAAUCAACAGGAUGUUUAUUUCCCCGUGAUGAUUCUGGAGGGACUCUGUCCUCCAAAAGGAAUACUCUCCCUGCGUCUUCUCUUCUGACUCUGACUACAGCUCUUAGUAAGUUCAGAGUAGUUGGUGAUAAAUUAAAAAUGCUCAUUACAGAAGACGAUUGUUGUUGUAACUGUCCACUCAUGUAGGAAGUGUAACCGCUUUUCCAGCUUUUGUUUUCUUUGGGCAUGUGUAAUUUCCAGGAACAACAAAUUCACACUUAAAAUACUUGUGUUUGAUGCAGUUUUUAAUGAGUGGCUUCCUUUCCUUUGUAUUUAUGUUUUAGAGACGACCUGAAAAGUGAGCACUGUACUUGAUAAAGGAAACUGCAUAUGCAGGUUCAGUAUUGUACGUGGACAUGAGAAUGGGAAACUGCAUAUGCAGGUUCAGUAUUGUACGUGGACAUGAGACUGGGACUUGUUCAAUCCAACAGGGUCAGCUACAGCGCCCUGUAUGAAAGAUGUUUGAAGUUCUCCCCUUUUUGCCAAUAAAGUUGUAAAUAAAAACCAUCAUACAUCCAAAUCCAA